UUUAUCCACAUUCACAGGAAUCCAGCCAUCAUCUGAGGAAGCAGUUCAUGUCGCAGCAAAGGAAGUUCUGUUCUCACCACAGCCCCUAUCUUCUGGAAGCAGCUGGCAUAAUUGAAAGGGUGCAUUUGUCACCUGCACUGUGGUCCAGGAAACUCAAGUCACCGUCCCCACCAUGUUCUUCCUGACUUCGAAGCAGUCUGGUGACCCCAGGCAGGAACUGACUAGCAUGAGAGUCUUGAUGCAGGAGAAUUUUUGAAGAAAUUCAGGAGCAGAACCGAAAGGAGGAGAGAAGGUGGAGGUGGGAAAGCUGACAGCUGGAGACUGGGGAGGGCCCUUUGAGGCCUGGGAGAGAAUAUGUGGAUGGUGGGGAGACCUUUCCCAGCAUUUUGGUAAAGGCUCCAUCAGUGCCGUGUCCUCGUGUUGGGGUCCCCCUCUCACAAAGUAUCUUUUCCACCUUUAGCCACCUCCACCCUGUCCACUAACCUGCAGUGGGAACAGCAGAUGCAACUGGCGGGGCUGAAGGUCAGUGGGAACUCCAGGGCCCCAGAGAAGGCCCGCACCACACUGAGCAGGAUCCAGGAGAGUGGAGAAGGGAGGUCGAGGUCCCUGUUAGAGGAGGGUGUGAAGGGGUCAGGAUAAAGGAGCAGCAGGACCUGAGGCCCUCCCUCUGCAAACAGACUUUCUCUGGUGGGCUCAGGCUCUGGCAACAGCCCCUUAUUUACUCCCC
rnacentral:lncRNA from 1 species